UACGUAGGUGGCGAGCGUUGUCCGGAUUUACUGGGCGUAAAGGGCUUGUAGGCGGUCCGUUAAGUCCGAUGUGAAAUCUCCCGGCUCAACUGGGAGAGGUCAUUGGAUACUGGCGGACUAGAGGGGGGUAGAGGAAAGCAGAAUUCCUGGUGUAGCGGUGGAAUGCGCAGAUAUCAGGAGGAACACCUAUAGCGAAGGCAGCUUGCUGGGACGUUACUGACGCUAAGGCGCGAAGGCGUGGGGAGCGAACGGG
rnacentral:rRNA from 1 species